rnacentral:lncRNA from 1 species
UGUACUCAAUGCUUUUUUUGCCUCUGUCUUCACAAACAAGGUCAGCUCCCAGACUGCUGGACUGGGCAGCACGGUAUGGGGAGAAGGUGACCAGCCCUCUGUGGAGAAAGAAGUGGUUCGGGACUAUUUAGAAAAACUGGACGAGCACAAAUCCAUGGGGCCGGAUGCGCUGCAUCCGAGGGUGCUAAAGGAGUUGGCAGAUGUGAUUGCGGAGCCAUUGGCCAUUAUCUUUGAAAACUCAUGGCGAUCAGGGGAGGUCCCAGAUGACUGGAAAAAGGCUAAUGUAGUGCCCAUCUUUAAAAAAGGGAAGAAGGAGGAUCCGUGGAACUACAGGCCAGUCAGCCUCACCUCAGUCCCUGGAAAAAUCAUGGAGCGGGUCCUCAAGGAAUCAAUUAUGAAACACUUAGAGGAGAGGAAAGUGAUCAGGAACAGUCAGCAUGGAUUCACCAGGAGGAAGUCAUGCCUGACUAACCUAAUUGCCUUCUAUGAGGAGAUAACUUGGUCUGUGGAUGAGGGGAAAGCAGUGGAUGUGUUAUUCCUUGACUUUAGCAGAGCUUUUGAUACGAUCUCCCACAGUAUUCUUGCCACCAAGUGUCACGGAGUAUUGGGGGACUCAGGGCCCUGCACCCCCGGCCUCCUGCGAUUCACCAUGACUCUCAGCCAGCCAGUAAGGAAGAAGGUUUAUUUGGAUGACAGGAAUACAGUCCAAGACAGGUCUUGCAGGCACAGACAACAGGAUACCUCUCAGUUAGGUCCAGCUUGGGGUCCCAGGGCAUCCCAGCCCACCCCCCUUUGGGAGGUCAGAGCCAUCUCUGCCUCCCAGCCAUCUCUCCAGCCUGCUUCCAGCACACUGCCUUCAGCGACCCCUCCCACCGCCUUUGUUCAGUUUCCCGGGCCCCGGAGUCACCUGACCUCCAACCCCCUCCUGGGUUCUCAUGUUACAAGCUCAGGUAUGUUCCCUUGGGCCGGCUCCCAUCCCCCGAUGCAGACCAUCCUAGCCACACU